rnacentral:rRNA from 1 species
AGGGCACCACCAGGAGUGGAGCCUGCGGCUUAAUUUGACUCAACACGGGGAAACUUACCCGGCCUGGACACUGGAAGGAUUGACAGAUUGAGAGCUCUUUCUUGAUUCAGUGGGUGGUGGUGCAUGGCCGUUCUUAGUUGGUGGAGCGAUUUGUCUGGUUAAUUCCGAUAACGAACGAGACUCUAGCCUAUUAAAUAGGCUCUCGGCUUUUAAACGCCGGGAGGACUUCUUAGAGGGACAGGUGGCGGUUCAGCCGCACGAAAGAGAGCAAUAACAGGUCUGUGAUGCCCUUUGUUGUCCGGGGCCGCACGCGCGCUACACUGAAGAGAUCAGCGUGCUUUACGUUCCUGCUCCGACCGGAGUGGGGAACCCAGUGAACCUUCUUCGUGAUUGGGAUAGAAGAUUGUAAUUAUUCUUCUUGAACGAGGAAUUCCCAGUAAAUGCGAGUCAUAAGCUCGCGUUGGUUACGUCCCUGCCCUUUGUACACACCGCCCGUCGCUACUACCGAUUGAACGAUUU